UCUAUCCUACGUUUAGUUUGAUUGCAUACAGACCAAUUUGGAAUGUGAAAAGUAUAUUCAAAUAUAUUAAAAGGCUAUAGCACAUAAUGGAUUGUGUAGUAAAAUCGGCAACAACAAAAAAAGUAAAAUCGGCCUAGGCGCCUUGGUUUUUAUUUUUUAAUAAUAAUUGUUUUCCCGACUUCAAAAAAAACACGCUGCCUCCUCUGAGUCGUCGCCUCCUUCUCAUCACGAGUCAUGACAGACCACCACCACCAGGUCUCCACCUGCUAGGCCAUACCACAUAAUGGAUUGUGUAGUAAAAUCGGCAACAACAACAAAAAAAAAAAAAAAGUAAAAUCGGCCUAGGCGGGCACCUAGGCGGCCUGGUUUUUUUUUUAAAAAAAAUAAUAAUAAUUGUUUUCCCGACUUCAAAGAAAACACGCUGCCUCCUCUGAGUCGUCGCCGCCUUCUCAUAACGAGUCAUGACUCAUGACAGACCACCACCACCAGGUCUCCACCUGCUACCACCAACAGGCCCCGACCUGCGACUCCCGUAAAGAAUUUGGGCUGUCCUCUUCGGCCGAAACAAGUGCAUUUUCCGAAGACAUAUUAGCAAGAGUGCCCUGUAAAGAAUCUGGUUUGAAUCUAUAUCAGAAACAAGAGAGGGAAGCUGUUAUGUUGGUGAAGAAGCAGAAGACAUAUUCUCUCCUGGAUGACGAUGAUGGCGAUAGAUCUUCUGCCCAGGUUGUUUCUGAGUCCAGGAAAGCUGAUUCCAUAAGAAACGAUUCAGGAAGAAGGUCUUGACUUUUGAGUCAAGAAGAUGAAGAUGAUGAGGUGAUUGCACAAGAGGAAGAAGAGAGAUGAGUUAUCUCCCCAUAUGACGAUGAUGGUUCAGAGUCAGAAGAAGAAAGAUUGCGUGAGCAAAGAGAGGUAGCAAUUGGAGCAGAAUAUAAGGGAACGGGAUACAACAGCUACACUAAAGUUAACGGAGAGAAAAUUAAAACGAAAGGAAGAAGAUGAGGCUGUUCUGAGAAGCAAUGCAUUGGAGCGGAAUGACCUUGAAAAUUUAAGGUUUGUCAUGAAUUAAUUCAUUAUGAAGUUCUGUACUUUUCUGGCAGGCAAUUGAAAACUCCAAAUAGUUAAAAGAUCAGGCAAUCUGUUGUUGAAAGUUUUUUUACCAAUAACCAUUGUUGAAAGUUCUAGGCAA